rnacentral:rRNA from 1 species
GAUGAACGCUAGCUACAGGCUUAACACAUGCAAGUCGAGGGGAAACGACAUCGAAAGCUUGCUUUUGGUGGGCGUCGACCGGCGCACGGGUGAGUAACGCGUAUCCAACCUGCCCACCACUUGGGGAUAACCUUGCGAAAGUAAGACUAAUACCCAAUGAUAUCCCACGAAGGCAUCCGAAUGGGAUUAAAGAUUUAUCGGUGAUGGAUGGGGAUGCGUCUGAUUAGCUUGUUGCGGGGUAACGGCCCACCAAGGCUACGAUCAGUAGGGGUUCUGAGAGGAAGGUCCCCCCACAUUGGAACUGAGACACGGUCCAAAACUCCUACGGGAGGCAGCAGUGAGGAAUAUUGGUCAAUGGGCGAGAGCCUUGAACCAGCCAAGUAGCGUGCAGGAUGACGGCCCUAUGGGGUUGUAAACUGCUUUUAUAAGGGAAUAAAGUGAGUCUCGUGAGACUUUUUGCCAUGUACCUUAAUGAAUAAGG